AGUAAUGUAUGGGGAUCUGCCUGAUGGCGGGGGAUAACUACUGGAAACGGUAGCUAAUACCGCAUAAUGUCUGCGGACCAAAGCGGGGGACCUCCGGGCCUCGCGCCAUCAGAUGAACCCAUAUGGGAUUAGCUUGUAGGUAAGGUAACGGCUUACCUAGGCGACGAUCCCUAGCUGGUCUGAGAGGAUGAUCAGCCACACUAGGACUGAGACACGGUCCAG
rnacentral:rRNA from 1 species